UGUCCGGAUUUACGGGGCGUAAAGAGCGUGUAGGCGGCCAAGCAGGUCCGUUGUGAAAACUGGAGGCUUAACCUCCAGACGUCGACGGAAACCGCGCGGCUAGAGUCCGGAAGAGGUGAGUGGAAUUCCUGGUGUAGCGGUGAAAUGCGCAGAUAUCAGGAGGAACACCAAUGGCGAAGGCAGCUCACUGGGACGGUAUUGACGCUGAGACGCGAAAGCGUGGGGAGCAAACAGG
rnacentral:rRNA from 1 species